GGAGUUAGCCGGUGCUUCUUCUGUGAGUGAUGUCCUUCCUGCCGGCUAUUAACCCGCAGGCCUUCUUCCUCACUGAAAGUGCUUUACAACCCGAAGGCCUUCUUCACACACGCGGCAUGGCUGGAUCAGGGUUGCCCCCAUUGUCCAAUAUUCCCCACUGCUGCCUCCCGUAGGAGUCUGGGCCGUGUCUCAGUCCCAGUGUGGCUGAUCAUCCUCUCAGACCAGCUACGGAUCGUCGCCUUGGUGAGCCGUUACCUCACCAACCAGCUAAUCCGACAUAGGCUCAUCCGAUAGCGCGAGGCCCGAAGGUCCCCCGCUUUCCCCCGUAGGGCGUAUGUGGUAUUAGCCUGGGUUUCCCCAGGUUAUCCCCCACUACCGGGCAGAUUCCUAUGCAUUACUCACCCGUCCGCCGCUCGCCACCAGGGAGCAAGCUCCCCGUGCUGCCGCUCGACUUGCAUGUGUUAGGCCUGCCGCCAGCGUUCAAUCUGAGCCAGGAUCAAACUCUGA
rnacentral:rRNA from 1 species